GUCCAUGCCGUAAACGAUGUCUACUAGCCGUUGGGGCCUUUGAGGCUUUAGUGGCGCAGCUAACGCGAUAAGUAGACCGCCUGGGGAGUACGGUCGCAAGACUAAAACUCAAAUGAAUUGACGGGGGCCCGCACAAGCGGUGGAGCAUGUGGUUUAAUUCGAUGCAACGCGAAGAACCUUACCUGGCCUUGACAUACUAGAAACUUUCCAGAGAUGGAUUGGUGCCUUCGGGAAUCUAGAUACAGGUGCUGCAUGGCUGUCGU
rnacentral:rRNA from 1 species